GACGAACGCUGGCGGCGCGCUUAACACAUGCAAGUCGAGCGAAGCGGCGGACGGGUGAGUAACACGUGAGUAACCUGCCUUAGACCUUGGGAUAGCCUCGGGAAACCGGGAUUAAUACCAAAUGGUCUAAGAUGGACUAGCGUCCCAUGAGCUAGUUGGUGAGGUAACGGCCCACCAAGGCGACGAUGGGUAGCCGGCCGGGGAGGCUGAACGGAGACAUUGGAACUCGGAAACGGUCCAAACUCUACGGGAGGCAGCAGUGGUGAAGAUUGCACAAUGGAGGGAACGAUGAGGCAGCGACGCGGCGUGAACGAAUAAGGCUUUCGAGUCGUAAAGUUCUUUUAUAUGGGGAGCGUUACCAUAAGAAAAAGCCCCGGCUAACUACGUGCCAGCAGCCGCGGUAAUUC
rnacentral:rRNA from 1 species